GCCGGCGGGAGCGGCGGAGCCGGAGGGCGCUGCCUCCGGCUCCGUUUGGGGCAUUUUCCUCAAAUUCCUCAAUUUUCCUGGCUCCGGGACCCAAAUCGGGAUUUUUCUUCCUUUUUCUCCCUUUAUCCUUCUUUUUUUCAUUAUUUUUCUAUUUUCUAUUUUUUUUCUGAUUUUCUUCUAUUUUCUCUCACUUUUUUUGUUCUAUUUUCUGUCUUUCUGCCUUGUUUUCCUCUCUUCUUUCUGCUCCUCCCUUGCUCAACUGCCGACUCCAUCUUCACUCUUCAGUUUUCCUGCUCUUCCCUCAAAAUUGGCUCCUCUCAAUCCAUCCUGAUCCUGAAAAUGCCGCAUUUCACCCCAAACCGGCCGCCCCCGUCUGCGCUGCCCGGCCCGGCCCCACAUGGGGACAAAACGACAUUUUUAAAAAGCUUUAAAAGCUUUUUUUAAAAAUAAAAUUGAAUUUAGGAGCUUUUUUAGCA
rnacentral:lncRNA from 1 species